AUUACUUUUUUCAAUUAAAUCAAUGAUAUAUUCUGUUAAAUGUUUUCGUUUUUUUAAAGGAGGUCCUUCAGUAAUUGUAACAUUUACUGGUAACUUGUUUGAAUCUGCUUUGCCUAUAUUUUCUUUCAGAGAUUCAUUUUCAGUAGUAAUACCACUACUGGAAGAAAUUAGUAAUGGAAGACAAAUGAUGGUACGUUCACCCAAUACCUUAUCCAUUAUUUCAUAAUAAGGCCAAGUCACUAGUGUCAAUGUUCUAUUGUCCAUGCCUCUUCCUGUUGGUGUGUUUCUUAAUUCCUAAAUACAAUAAAUGUCAGUUAUAUAUUUAUUGAACCAUUUCAGAUUAAAAUAUAAAACAAAUAUUACCUUAUAUUUCUUUACCAUAUUAAUCCUUUUUUUUUUUUUUUUUUGCUUGGGCAACUGUAACUGUG
rnacentral:lncRNA from 1 species